UGGGGAAUAUUGGACAAUGGGGGCAACCCUGAUCCAGCCAUGCCGCGUGAGUGAUGAAGGCCUUCGGGUUGUAAAGCUCUUUUGGCGGGGACGAUGAUGACGGUACCCGCAGAAUAAGCCCCGGCUAACUUCGUGCCAGCAGCCGCGGUAAGACGAAGGGGGCUAGCGUUGUUCGGAAUUACUGGGCGUAAAGCGAGUGUAGGCGGUUGCCGUAGUCAGGUGUGAAAGCCUUGAGCUCAACUCAAGAAAUGCACUUGAUACUGGGUGACUAGAGGACCGGAGAGGAUAGUGGAAUUCCCAGUGUAGUGGUGAAAUACGUAGAGAUUGGGAAGAACACCAGUGGCGAAGGCGGCUAUCUGGACGGUUACUGACGCUAAGACUCGAAAGCGUGGGGAGCAAACAGGAUUAGAUACCCUGGUAGUCCACGCCGUAAACGAUGGGUGCUAGACGUUGGCGAGCUUGCUCGUCAGUGUCGCAGCUAACGCGUUAAGCACCCCGCCUGGGGAGUACGGCCGCAAGGUUGAAACUUAAAUGAAUUGACGGGGUCAUAGCUG
rnacentral:rRNA from 1 species